rnacentral:rRNA from 1 species
UACAGAGGUCCCGAGCGUUGUUCGGAUUCACUGGGCGUAAAGGGUGCGUAGGUGGUGGGAUAAGUCGGAUGUGAAAUCUCGGAGCUCAACUCCGAAACUGCAUUGGAAACUGUCCUGCUAGAGGGUUUGGAGGGGGGACUGGAAUACUUGGUGUAGCAGUGAAAUGCGUAGAUAUCAAGUGGAACACCGGUGGCGAAGGCGAGUCCCUGGACAACACCUGACACUGAGGCACGAAAGCUAGGGGAGCAAACAGG